GCUCAGGCGAACGCUGGCGGCGUGGUCAACACAUGCAAGUCAAACGGGACUGGGGGCAACUCCAGUUCAGUGGCGGACGGGUGCGCAACACGUGAGGAACAUGACUUUCGGUGGGGGAUAGCCGGCCCAACGGCCGGGUAAUACCGCGUACGACCUUUCGGGGACAUCCCCGGUUGGUGAAAGCAGCAAUGCGCCGAAAGAGUGCCUCGCGGCCUAUCAGCUAGUUGGUGGGGUAAUGGCCCACCAAGGCGACGACGGGUAGCUGGUCUGAGAGGAUGGCCAGCCACAUUGGGACUGAGACACGGCCCAGACUCCUACGGGAGGCAGCAGUGGG
rnacentral:rRNA from 1 species